rnacentral:piRNA from 1 species
UGUCCUGUGCUAAGAGGUAUGGUAUG